AGAGAAACCGGACAGGACUGCAACUUGCUAUUAUCUCUAGUUCUUGUUUGCCACUGUCACGUCACUACUUGUUCAACAGUGUUCUAACAAUGCAAACCAGGAAUAUAAGGACUCAAAUUUCCUAUCUUUUUCUGGUGCAUUAUUCUACACCCACCUACUCAGUCAACAUUCAAAUAUACACAUACACAUAAAUGCCAUGCUGCCGUCCAGCCAUUCCACAUUCACACUGUCUAAAUACUCAUAGACCAUAAUUCAACUAUCUUGCCCACAUAGAUACACAUAUAGAAGCUGAAAAGAUUGUAAAGACCUACAUGGAGAGGAAGAAGACUCUGAAGAAAGAUCACGAGGUUCGGGAGACUGAGAAGCAGAAGCAGCUGCUAAUGCUAUGCAGACGAGAAAAGAAACUACCUAGUUUAACAGAAGUGGAUGAUGAAGGAGAAGAUCAAGACACCGGCAACAAGUUAAAACCAAAUGACAUGGCAAUAAGGUCGACCAUGCGAUUAAUAUCAGGUAACAUGCCUUGUUCUAUGCAGGACCACGCCCUCUGUUUCACCAAUUCACUUCUGCGUGAUACAACUAAUUGUUCCCCCAGCCCUUCCCUCCUUGCUCGAUCCCUCAAAAAGGAGUUUGACUCAUUAUAUGGACGGCUAUGGCACUGCAUAGUUGGGAGGAGUUUUGGAUCGUUUGUGACUCACUCUCCUGGAGGCUUCAUUUAUUUUUCUGUCGAUUCCCAUAACCUCUCUUUUCUUCUCUUCAAAACUGAGGUCCAGCUUAUAGCAACAUAAUUCGAGCAUAUGAAAUGCAUUCAUAUACUUAGUGUAUUGCUUGGUAAUUUCAAAAAUAUACCGACUUCUUGUGUUUA